UACGUAGGGGGCGAGCGUUGUCCGGAUUUAUUGGGCGUAAAGAGCUCGUAGGCGGCUUGGCAAGUCGGGUGUGAAACCUCCAGGCUCAACCUGGAGACGCCACUCGAUACUGCCAUGGCUAGAGUCCGGUAGGGGACCACGGAAUUCCUGGUGUAGCGGUGAAAUGCGCAGAUAUCGGGAGGAACACCUAUGGCGAAGGCAGCUCGCUGGGACGUUACUGACGCUGAGACGCGAAAGCGUGGGGAGCAAACAGG
rnacentral:rRNA from 1 species